GAUGAACGCUGGCGGCGUGCCUAAUACAUGCAAGUCGAGCGAAUGGAUUAAGAGCUUGCUCUUAUGAAGUUAGCGGCGGUCGGGUGAGUAACACGUGGGUAACCUGCCCAUAAGACUGGGAUAACUCCGGGAAACCGGGGCUAAUACCGGAUAACAUUUUGAACCGCAUGGUUCGAAAUUGAAAGGCGGCUUCGGCUGUCACUUAUGGAUGGACCCGCGUCGCAUUAGCUAGUUGGUGAGGUAACGGCUCACCAAGGCAACGAUGCGUAGCCGACCUGAGAGGGUGAGAGGCCAAGCUGGGACUGAGACACGGCCCAGACUCCUACGGGAGGAAGCAGUAGGGAAUCUUCCGAAAGGGACGAAAGUCUGACGGAGCAACGCCGCGUGAGUGAUGAAGGCUUUCGGGUCGUAAAACUCUGUUGUUAGGGAAGAACAAGUGCUAGUUGAAUAAGCUGGCACCUUGACGGUACCUAACCAGAAAGCCACGGCUAACUACGUGCCAGCCGCCGCAGUAA
rnacentral:rRNA from 1 species